UUGACUGUGAAUUGGACAAUUUAUCUCCUGAGGUAAUGCUUGUGGUCCUUAGUAAGGACAGUGGGCAGGUCCUUGAAGACACAAGGCAAAUUGAAGAUCCUCCAAAACAGAAGAAAAGUUUAGAGAUUGAGAGAUGUAUCCUGUUGUGCCCAGGGAGUUGGGAAUGGCCUUCUUGUUCCUGAGACCACAAUUCCAUUUGGUUUCUAAUAAUUGGCUUCUAAUCUCCAUUGUUUGGCUGUCCACAGCUUGUCGAUCGUUUUUAAGGGCUGUGCUCCUUUUUGUUGCUUGAACCACUGGGAAAUCACAACAGAUUUGACAGACAGAGCUUCAUUUGGCAGUUGGUUCAGUGUCAGAAGUUGAAGUAACCAGCUGGAUUUUGGGGAACAGUUCUGAAAGCUCAGUGGAAAGGAUCCAUUUCCUGUCCAUCAACAUCACGAAGUAUGACUAUUUGGCUUGCUUUCAAUGGGAUUGUGAUCUGAAUAGAAUCAUCCAGCCUAUGAAUGAUUUGAUCUCUGCCCACAUGGAAUGCACUUUGCCAGUGAGAACAGUGUAUAGUUGCUGAUUCCCAACUGUUCAUUAAUGAAGUGUAUCCCAGAUUACUGUGCACUGCUUCCUAUUAAGGAGCUCACAGCAGAGAGAGACCAAAUCAAAGCAGCCCUUUUUUUUUUUAAGAAAGGUUGAGGUUAUUUGAUAAAUGUGAAGUACACAGCCCAAAAAAAAUGAUUAACACUGGAGGUGGAUAUCCUAUCAUUCAACAGUUCACAAACGGGCAUGUUCCAACACAGGAGUUCUCCACAAUACUGCUGUCGCUUGUAGCUACUCCUUCGACAAGGAGAUUAUGUGCUGCUAUUGUUUGCCAGGCACCAACCUCACACGUCCACUAAAACCUGUCCUCAAUCACACUGUGACAUCCAUCAUUCAAUCACCUAGGUAGGCCCCUUUUCCUGCUGCCCUCCAUUUUACCAGCUAGAUGAGAUCUCUGCAGCUAAUCGGCUCUGAUCAAAUGGCCAGAAUGCUGCCAUUUUCUUCUCUGGAUGUUACUUUCUGGUAAUCUUUUUGCUCUUGGCAGUUUUAAACACAUCCUCAGUCAUCCUUUGUUUCUUUAUAUGGAAUUUUGAGUUCCAAAAUAAACUCAAAAAUGCUGGAAAUACGCAGCAGGUCAACUAGCAUUGGUGCAAAAAACACCAUUGAGUCAGAUCUAUGAUCUUUUGUUGUUCAUUUGUCGGAAAGGUUUAUCCUUUUUCUUCUCAUCCAAAGACACAGCCUGACCUGCUGAAUCUUUCCAGAAUUUUCUGUUUUCUUUAAUUUCAGUUUCCUAGCAUCCUCCUCUUCUAGAAGAGUUCCAGUUUUUUUUAUCUGUGAUGCCACCUUCGUACCAACUAUGGACCUACCAAUAAGCUGUUACAACCAGGCAAGGGGAAUAAUGGCACUGAGCUACAACCACCACUAGGCUUUACCUCCAACAGUGUACUUCUACCUUGUGCAGCGAUACUUGUUAGCUCCUGUAAUAUAGAAACUAGAGUGGAUAACUUCUCAUUGAAAGAUUCAAGAGACGUUUAUUACUGCUCAUGAGCAUACGAACAUGUGAACAAGAAGCAGGGAUAGGUCAAUCAGCCCUCGGAGCUGAUCUACCAUUCACGAAGAUCAUGACUGAUCUGAUUUCAACUUCAAAUUAGCAUUCCUGCCUACCCCAAUAACCUUUCAAUUCCUUGCUUAACAAGAAUCUAUCUACUUCUGCGUUUUUUAAAAAAAAAAAAAAUCAAGGAAUGUGCUUCCAUCACCCUUUUUCAGGAAGGGAGUUUCAAAGGGUCUCAAACCUCAGAGAAAAAUGUUUCCCUCAUCUCUGUGUGACCGCUUAGUUUUAAACAGUGAACUCGAAUUCUAGUUUGUCUCCCGACAGGAAACAUCCUUUCCACAUCCACCCUGUCAAAAUCGCUCAGGAUCUUAAAUAUUUCAAUCAAACCACCUCUUACACUUCUAAACUCCUUGGAUACAAGCCUAACCUGUCCAACCUGUCCUCCUAAGACAACACACCCGUUCCAGGUACUGGUCUUGGAAGCCAAUACUGAACUACCUCCAGUGUAUUUACAUCCUUCCCUAAAUAAGGUGACCAGCCCUGUUUCUCGUCUCACCAGUUCCUUGUAUAACUGAAGCUCCCUACUUUAGUACUCAAUUCCUCUUUUAAAUAAUAACAUUCUAUUCACUUUCCCAAUCGCUUGCUCUACCUAACUAAUCUUUUGCAAAUCAUGCACGAGGACAUCCUGAUCUCUCUAUACCUCUGCUAAACGUAUAUUAUGCUUUUCUAGCAUGUAGCCAUCAAACACUGCAAUCAAACUUAGUUAACCAAAUCAAAAAGGAAGAAGAGGCAAUCCUAAGAUUUUCUUUGAAGUUUUACCUAUUACCCAUCUACCCACACCCACACGCCCCCCCCCCCCCCAACAAAAG